rnacentral:rRNA from 1 species
UACGUAGGGUGCAAGCGUUAAUCGGAAUUACUGGGCGUAAAGCGUGCGCAGGCGGUUUUGUAAGACAGAGGUGAAAUCCCCGGGCUCAACCUGGGAACUGCCUUUGUGACUGCAAGGCUUGAGUGCGGCAGAGGGGGAUGGAAUUCCGCGUGUAGCAGUGAAAUGCGUAGAUAUGCGGAGGAACACCGAUGGCGAAGGCAAUCCCCUGGGCCUGCACUGACGCUCAUGCACGAAAGCGUGGGGAGCAACAGG